rnacentral:rRNA from 1 species
UACGAAGGGGGCUAGCGUUGUUCGGAAUCACUGGGCGUAAAGCGCACGUAGGCGGAUUGUUAAGUCAGGGGUGAAAUGCCAAGGCUCAACCUUGGAACUGCCUUUGAUACUGGCAAUCUCGAGUCCGGGAGAGGUGAGUGGAACUGCGAGUGUAGAGGUGAAAUUCGUAGAUAUUCGCAAGAACACCAGUGGCGAAGGCGGCUCACUGGCCCGGUACUGACGCUGAGGCGCGAAAGCGUGGGGAGCAAACAGG